AUUGAACGCUGGCGGCAUGCCUAACACAUGCAAGUCGACCGAGUGGCGGACGGGUGAGUAAUGUCUGGGAAACUUCCUGAUGGAGGGGGAUAACUACUGGAAACGGUAGCUAAUACCGCCUACCCUCUGAUUUGCCCAGAUGGGAUUCGCUAGUUGGGGGGGUAAAGGCUCACCUAGGCGACGAUCCCUAGCUGGUCUGAGAGGAUGACCAGCCAAACUGGAACUGAGAAACGGUCCAGACUCCUACGGGGGGCAGCAGUGGGGAAUAUUGCACAAUGGGCGCAAGCCUGAUGCAGCCAUGCCGCGUGUAUGAAGAAGGCCUUCGGGUUGUAAAGUACUUUCAGCGGGGAGGCGUUACCCGCAGAAGAAGCACCGGCUAACUCCGUGCCAGCAGCCGCGGUAAUAC
rnacentral:rRNA from 1 species